CCUAAACUUGAAAGCAACACAGUGAGCUAGCUAAUGUUGCAAAAAAAAAAAUCCAUCCGAGCAUAAGAUUGUUUCAUAUUGAAAUAGCCUAUCGGUUGUAUAACUUUGUCGGACUGCUCGGUUUGGUAGUCAUCGAGAAUUGGCAGUCAUCGAUUAUUGGCUACAUAAACCGAAACAGUGGAAGCAAAUAUAUUAUUGCCACACCCAUAAGGAACCUUCCUACACAAGCAGUAUCACAUCCUGUGAAGGACUCUCCACCUGUGAGAUUGGAAGUGCUCUGUGCGAGGAGGUGAGAAUAACAUUAGUGUUGAUUUCGCUGGAUCGCCUGUUAUCCUCAGCCAUGACCUGAAGAUGAAGGACAUUAAGAAACCUCAACAGUUGGCUUCAGCUGUAACAGUUUCUGAUCUAUGAACCGGAGAAUCCAGAGACCAAACAGUUCAUUCCUCUCAUCCAGGAGAACCUGCA